GACGAACGCUGGCGGCGUGCUUAACACAUGCAAGUCGAACGGAAAGGCCCUGCUUUUGUGGGUUGCUCGAGUGGCGAACGGGGGAGUAACACGUGAGUAACCUGCCCUUGACUGUGGGAUAACUUCAGGAAACUGGGGCUAAUACCGGAUAGGAGCUCCUGCUCCAUGUUGGGGGUUGGAAAGUUUCGGCGGUUGGGGCUGGACUCGCAGCUUAUCAGCCUGUUGGUGGGGUAGUUGCUUACCACGGCUUUGAAGGGUAGCCGGCCUGGGAGGGGGACCGGCGACAUGGGGACUGAGAGACGCCGCGGACUGCUACGGGAGGCAGUGGGGGGAAAUAUGGCAGAGUGGGGGGGAGCGUGAUGCGGAAGCGCUGGGAGCGGGAUGACGGCUUUCGGGGUGAGAACAGCUUUCGACGGUGAUGAAGAGUGCGUGACGGUAAUGGGUAAAGAAGCAACGGCUAACUACGUG
rnacentral:rRNA from 1 species